rnacentral:tRNA from 1 species
UCCCUGUUGGUUCAGUGGUAAAGAAUCUGCCUGCCAUGCAGGAGACACAGGUUCGAUCCCUGGGUCGGGAA